UACGGGGGGGGCAAGCGUUGUUCGGAAUUACUGGGCGUAAAGGGCUCGUAGGUGGCCAACUAAGUCAGACGUGAAAUCCCUCGGCUUAACCGGGGAACUGCGUCUGAUACUGGAUGGCUUGAGUUCGGGAGAGGGAUGCGGAAUUCCAGGUGUAGCGGUGAAAUGCGUAGAUAUCUGGAGGAACACCGGUGGCGAAGGCGACUUUCUGGUCUGUAACUGACACUGAGGCGCGAAAGCGUGGGGAGCGAACAGG
rnacentral:rRNA from 1 species